rnacentral:rRNA from 1 species
GAUGAACGCUGGCGGCGUGCCUAAUACAUGCAAGUCGAGCGAACGGACGAGAAGCUUGCUUCUCUGAUGUUAGCGGCGGACGGGUGAGUAACACGUGGAUAACCUACCUAUAAGACUGGGAUAAAUUCGGGAAACCGGAGCUAAUACCGGAUAAUAUUUUGAACCGCAUGGUUCAAAAGUGAAAGACGGUCUUGCUGUCACUUAUAGAUGGAUCCGCGCUUCAUUAGCUAGUUGGUAAGGUAACGGCUUACCAAGGCAACGAUGCAUAGCCGACCUGAGAGGGUGAUCGGCCACACUGGAACUGAGACACGGUCCAGACUCCGACGGGAGGCAGCAGUAGGGAAUCUUCCGCAAUGGGCGAAAGCCUGACGGAGCAACGCCGCGUGAAUGAUGAAGGUCUUCGGAUCGUAAAACUCUGUUAUUAGGGAAGAACAUAUGUGUAAGUAACUGUGCACAUCUUGACGGUACCUAAUCAGAAAGCCACGGCUAACUACGUG